rnacentral:rRNA from 1 species
UACGUAGGCAGCAAGCGUUGUUCGGAAUUACUGGGCGUAAAGAGUGUGUAGGCGGUGUUCUAAGUUUGUCGUGAAAUCUCCCGGCUUAACUGGGAGGGUGCGGCGAAAACUGGAAUGCUAGAGGAUGGGAGAGGUAAGCGGAAUUCCUGGUGUAGCGGUGAAAUGCGUAGAUAUCUGGAGGAACACCGGUGGCGAAGGCGGCAUCCUGGACCGGCAUUGACGCUGAGGCGCGAAAGCUAGGGGAGCAAACGGG